GCGGGAGUCAGAUUUACUGACACCUGCUGCAGAAACAGCGACAAUAAACAACUGGGACUCUAUUAAUAUCCGUUUAUGGGAAAACGCCGCUCCUUCCACUGAAAUACAGUCACGUCCCGAUAUUUAAAGAAGUCUCAGCUCCACUGUGUUGCUGUUGAAGUCUGGAUGUCACACAUCUGGGUGUGGCUGGAUUUUACAGUCCAGAAACCUACAGGGACUCUGGACCAGGACCUGUUUGAGACCCAGUGGUGUUCGUGGGAACAGGCUGCCCUCUGCUGGACUGACGAGGAGCUGAUUUCAGUUCAUCAAAUGGAGGAAAACCUAUAUUUGAACAGAGACUCAGUUUGUUCCUGACGCCCACCAUCUAAUGUUCUUCUUCAGAUGCUGAAGAAAGAGAAACUCACCUGGAAACAUCUGCUGCUGCAUUUCAGGAGCAUACAAACUUUUUUAGACCUCAAAGUCCUGAAAGAUUUUUUAUCUUGUGUGCACAACAGAAUAAAAUGUCAUGUUUCAGGAUUUUA